UUUCCGGUUGAUCCCGCCGGACCUGACUGCUAUCGGAUUGAUACUAAGCCAUGCGAGUCAUUGUAGCAAUACAAGGCAGACGGCUCAGUAACGCGUAGUCAACCUAACCUAUGGACGGGAAUAACCUCGGGAAACUGAGAAUAAUGCCCGAUAGAACAUUAUGCCUGGAAUGGUUUAUGUUCCAAAUGAUUUAUCGCCGUAGGAUGGGACUGCGGCCUAUCAGUUUGUUGGUGAGGUAAUGGCCCACCAAGACUAUUACAGGUACGGGCUCUGAGAGGAGUAGCCCGGAGAUGGGUACUGAGACACGGACCCAGGCCCUAUGGGGCGCAGCAGGCGAGAAAACUUUGCAAUGUGCGAAAGCACGACAAGGUUAAUCCGAGUGGUUUCUGCUAAAGGAACCUUUUGUCGGUCCUAGAAACACCGAUGAAUAAGGGGUGGGCAAGUUCUGGUGUCAGCCGCCGCGGUAAAACCAGCACCUCAAGUGGUCAGGAUGAUUAUUGGGCCUAAAGCAUCCGUAGCCUGCUUUGUUAGUUUUCGGUUAAAUCUGUACGCUCAACGUACAGGCUGCCGGGAAUACUACAAAGCUAGGGAGUGGGAGAGGUAGACGGUACUCGGUAGGAAGGGGUAAAAUCCUUUGAUCUAUUGAUGACCACCUGUGGCGAAGGCGGUCUACCAGAACACGUCCGACGGUGAGGGAUGAAAGCUGGGGGAGCAAACCGGAUUAGAUACCCGGGUAGUCCCAGCCGUAAACCAUGCAAACUCAGUGAUGCAUUGGCUUGUGGCCAAUGCAGUGCUGCAGGGAAGCCGUUAAGUUUGCCGCCUGGGAAGUACGUACGCAAGUAUGAAACUUAAAGGAAUUGGCGGGGGAGCACCACAAGGGGUGAAGCCUGCGGUUCAAUUGGAGUCAACGCCGGGAA
rnacentral:rRNA from 1 species